GCCUACGACCAUAUCACCCAGAAUGCGCACGAUUUCGUCUGAUCUCGGAAGCUAAGCAGGGUCGAGCUUGGAUAGUACUUGGAUGGGAGACUGCCUGGGAAUACCAGGUGUUGUAGGCA
rnacentral:rRNA from 1 species